CUCAACUUUCCUUGCUCAAAAGUCACAUGCAAGUUCUCUACUUGCCCAAGCUAAAAAAAAAAAGGAAUACUUUAUAAUAAUGAAACAACUUUGUCCAGCAGGACAGAUUCCUCUGUAACUUCUAGCAAAGCCAACACUUCAUCAAAAGUUGUCAGUCUUGGUAAUGACAACGAAGAUGACUGUUUUGGAAUUUUCACUGUACUAAAGCGUCAAUAAUUUUAAAGCCUUUUCAAGAGUAUAGUAGAAAUCAUUACAAAAGUUAAAGACUCACAAGUCUACAGUAUUAUGAUUCUGCCAACUUUUGUUCUCACAUAAAUACAGUUUCAAGUACUUCACCAACUUUCAGUGCAUGCCCUCGACUUUCACAUGAAGCACAGUAAAAUCAAAUGAUUGUAAAGCAUUCUCCUUCAUCCAUAAAAGGAAGAUUUUUGCCCUUCAAGGGGGUAGAGUUUUUCUUACACCUUAGGAGCUCUCUCUCUUUUCCUUUAACUGAUAUGCUUCUCUUUGUACAUUAUGCGCUCCUGAUCUUGUGCGUCUUCUUGUAUUGGUGGUUCCUGCGGUUGAAACUGAAUGAUUUUAGGCUGUUGUUCACCUUCUAGGCGUGCAUAUCUGCAUGAAACAAAAACACAGAAGCACAGGUUACAGAAACUGAGGAUUGCUAGCAACCGAAAAUACUUGUCCAACCGACUAUAGUUUAUAGCAUCCCCGAACCAACUUCUGCGAAACGGAAUAAAGAAUACGAUGAGGAACUUUCCAAUACCAAUCACCAAGCCAUUGAAUGGUGUUUCAAAAAGCUUCAUUGAUUUAUCUACUUGGUUGUAAAAAAACUCUCUGAGCCCAUCUUCAGCUAAUCCUUUGAUAAAUCCUAACAGGAAGAAUUGUGGAACUAACCACAAGACACUCAUGGGAA